CGGGGUGUAGCUCAGCCUGGUAGAGCGCUAUCUUCGGGAGGUAGAAGUCGCUGGUUCGAAUCCAGUCACCCCGACCA
rnacentral:tRNA from 2 species